AUUGAACGCUGGCGGCAUGCCUUACACAUGCAAGUCGAACGGUAACAGGUCUUCGGAUGCUGACGAGUGGCGAACGGGUGAGUAAUACAUCGGAACGUGCCUAGUAGUGGGGGAUAACUACUCGAAAGAGUGGCUGAUACCGCAUGAGAUCUACGGAUGAAAGCAGGGGAUCGCAAGACCUUGUGCUACUAGAGCGGCAGAUGGCAGAUUAGGUAGUUGGUGGGAUAAAAGCUUACCAAGCCGACGAUCUGUAGCUGGUCUGAGAGGACGAUCAGCCACACUGGGACUGAGACACGGCCCAGACUCCUACGGGAGGCAGCAGUGGGGAAUUUUGGACAAUGGGCGCAAGCCUGAUCCAGCAAUGCCGCGUGCAGGAUGAAGGCCUUCGGGUUGUAAACUGCUUUUGUACGGAACGAAAAGCCCUGGGUUAAUACCCUGGGGUCAUGACGGUACCGUAAGAAUAAGCACCGGCUAACUACGUGCCAGCCGCCGCUGUAAGAC
rnacentral:rRNA from 1 species